CUCGGCUAUAGCUCCGUGCCGUCGGCUUAAUCCAAAGUUAUUCCAAAUCUGCAUUUGGAACAGCAGGAAUUGCCUCUCGAGGUUGGGGCCGAUGCCUGAGAAACGGCUGGGGGAGCGGACACUGCGGCCAGUGGGCUCUGACCUCGCCUCCCCGCCACGUCCUGCUGCUUUCCCGCCCAGGGACUCCCCCGCCACGCAGACCCCAGAGAAAUGCAGCCCAACUUCUCACCUAUUUUGGCAAAAACAGCUGGAGCGGCAACGGUCCUGUGCUUCCCGCUGCCGGCGCGACGCGGUGAGUUUUCCGUGCCUGGGAGCAGCUUUCCAUUCCAAGAGGUGACACGCUGGAGCCUGCGAGAGGAGUUAUCAACAGAUUGCAGGGCUGCAGCCGGGCAACGGUGACAGGGGCUCUGCACCCGAGGGAAUGAGUCAGAGCCAGGACCAGCAGACAUUCAACGCGAUUCUCAGCAGGCAGCUUCCAGAACUCCGGCGUGAGGAGUGCCAGCCGCCUUUGCGCCGUCUUCCGCGGGCGAGAGCCGGGAUGAGGGACCGGCCGGGAAGCAGGAGCCGUAACCAUGGGGAUGGGGGAGGCGCUGAUGGCGGCAGGCGCUGUGGCCCGCUCCCCGCGGCAGGAGGGAAUGGUUCUUCCCAGCCCGCCGGCCGCCGGCCCGUCACACUGCAGAGACGAUUUAAAGAGACAACCGGCCAGGUUUUGCCUUUGCUUCUGACAGAGUCGGACAGCUCACAUUAAGAGGUCUCCCUGAAAGCAGGCAGAGGAGGACUGGAUGAUCUUGUUUGCGAUUCCUGUCCACUGAGGGCUCCAAGAACAGAACAGAAUAUGAACAAGGAGGUUGAUUUUGGAGGAAUUUUCAUAGUCUGUAUUAAAAUAUUCUCAAAUCCAAAUAUUCCCAUGCUGAGGUGAACCCACAGUGAGUCCACCCCAGCAUGAGUCAGCAGGGUGAUCCUGCUGGUGUAGACAGGACGUGGCCAUGCAGAAAAAGCCUGUCAGCCCCCUGCCCAGUCCAGGAUCCUGGGUGACAGAGCCGGGUGCCGAGAAGGAAGGCGAGCCUGCGGCCCCCACCCCGACGUGCGCAGGGUUCUUGCUAAAAAUACAGAAUCGCUGGUGCAAGAAUGGCUUCAGGUCGGCUGCUGACGUCUCAGGCCAGACUUGCCUCUCUUCGGAACAUUUUUGAUAUCUUUGGAGUUGUCAGCUAUCCAGCCCUUGUGUGGGAAUUCUGAGACCCUGGAAUUGGAGAAGCCUGACGACGCUGGAGAUGGAGAUGGUGUUUCCGGGCGUGUGGGCAGCCUGGCCCUGGAGGCUGCGGGCUUUGGGCCUCCUUGUGCACUCGGCAUCCUGGCUCAUGGAGCGGAAUUAAAACCGCUCUCUGGUUGCCGUGGCAACCAGCCGUCUCCCCCCACAGCGUCAGGUUGAAUUUGUGCAGACCAUUUCUACCAAAGAUUUACGCCAACAAAUCCAUUCUGCCCUGAGCUGAAGCCUUGUUUGAGAGCCAAAUAAUAAAA
rnacentral:lncRNA from 1 species